GGGGUUGUAGCUCAGUGGUAGAGCAUCUCAUUUGCAAUGAAGCUCCUAUGUUUCAGUUCUAAAUUUGAGAAGGUCUGGGGUUCAAUCCCCCACGGCUCCA